rnacentral:rRNA from 1 species
AAAUUGAAGAGUUUGAUCAUGGCUCAGAUUGAACGCUGGCGGCAGGCCUAACACAUGCAAGUCGAACGGUAACAGGAAACAGCUUGCUGUUUCGCUGACGAGUGGCGGACGGGUGAGUAAUGUCUGGGAAACUGCCUGAUGGAGGGGGAUAACUACUGGAAACGGUAGCUAAUACCGCAUAACGUCGCAAGACCAAAGAGGGGGACCUUCGGGCCUCUUGCCAUCGGAUGUGCCCAGAUGGGAUUAGCUAG